UGUUGUCAGCCUUGGAGCGAUGCGACUGGGAGCCGCGGCUCUGCCCGUUGCUGCGCGUCCCCGGCCGACUCAGCCCACGGGGAGUCCGUGUGUCCGCACCAGAUGACGAACGGAAACCCGGAACGGUUAAGGGCGGGUCCAUGUUCAUGUUCUGCAUACUAAGGAAAGGUGUGCUCUCCCCGUGAGCAUCCUCUUCCUCCUCCUCUUCCUCCUCCUCCUCUGACUCGCUGAAGCUCUGUGAGCUGUAGUCCCGUAGGCCCGCUGAACGCUGGGAGAUGUGUCCGUUGAGGCGGUUGCGACGCGGGCGUCGCCGGCUCCGGAUGGGUUCCCUUGAAGAGGCGUACUCCUGCGUGGUCUCGUAGGCCUCGUCGUCAGGGAGACGGUAGGGGCUUGAUGGUAGACUUCCUGUGCUCUCCGUCAGGUUGUUUAAAAGCAGUGUAUUGCUGCCCUCUGUGGUUGAAAGCUCCAAGCCUGUUGCACCUGGAUCCACAGGGUCCUGGAGGACAUCACUGCAGCAAGAUGAGACAUUAAACCACUGGAGAGAGAGACUUCAGUCAUGUUUGGAGACGCUGCCUGCCAGCCUAGAUAGAGUCCUGACUUAUAAAUAUGCCCUAGUUAGCCUGAGACCCCUGCUCCUUCCAGCCCGCUCGCUUUGUCCCCAAGUCCUGUUAUCUGUGUUCUGAAUAAAACUGAAUUACUGUUCAUCUA